GACGAACGCUGGCGGCGUGCCUAAUACAUGCAAGUAGAACGCUGAAGGAGGAGCUUGCUUCUCUGGAUGAGUUGCGAACGGGUGAGUAACGCGUAGGUAACCUGCCUGGUAGCGGGGGAUAACUAUUGGAAACGAUAGCUAAUACCGCAUAAUAUUGACUAUUGCAUGAUAGUCAGUUGAAAGGUGCAACUGCACCACUACCAGAUGGACCUGCGUUGUAUUAGCUAGUUGGUGGGGUAACGGCUCACCAAGGCGACGAUACAUAGCCGACCUGAGAGGGUGAUCGGCCACACUGGGACUGAGACACGGCCCAGACUCCUACGGGAGGCAGCAGUAGGGAAUCUUCGGCAAUGGACGGAAGUCUGAUCGAGCAACGCCGCGUGAGUGAAGAAGGUUUUCGGAUCGUAAAGCUCUGUUGUAAGAGAAGAACGAGUGUGAGAGUGGAAAGCUCACACUGUGACGGUAGCUUACCAGAAAGGGACGGCUAACUACGUG
rnacentral:rRNA from 1 species